AUUGCCCCAGUAACGGCGAGUGAAGCGGCAGCAGCUCAAAUUUGAAAUCUGGGGUCCCCGACCUCCGAGUUGUAAUUUGGAGAGGCAUCUUCGGGGGGGAGCGCCGGCCCAUGUUCCUUGGGACAGGACGUCACAGAGGGUGAGAAUCCCGUGCCUGGCCGGCUGCCUCCUCCCGGGUGAAGGGCCUUCGACGAGUCGAGUUGUUUGGGAAUGCAGCUCCAAGUGGGUGGUAAAUUUCAUCUAAAGCUAAAUACCGGCGGGAGACCGAUAGCGCACAAGUAGAGUGAUCGAAAGAUGAAAAGCACUUUGAAAAUAGAGUCAAAAAGUACGUGAAAUUGUUGAAAGGGAAGCGCUUGAGACCAGACUCAGGCCCGGGCAAACAUCGCGCCCCUCGGGGCCGUGCAAUUGCCUGGGCCUGGGCCAGCAUCAGUUGGCGUGGCGGGACAAAGGCGCGGGGAAUGUGGCUCCCCUCGAGGAGUGUUAUCAGGCCCGCGCUCAAUGCCGCCGACGUCGACUGAGGACCGCGCCUCGGCUAGGAUGCUGGCUUAAUGGCCUUCAGCGACCCGUCUUGAAACACGGACCAAGGAGUCUAACAUCUAUGCGAGUGUUUGGGCGACAAACCCUUGCGCGGAAUGAAAGUGAGCGGAGGUGGGAACCCCCCAGCGGGGCGCACCAUCGACCGAUCCUGAUGUCUUCGGAUGGAUUUGAGUAGGAGCAUAGCUGUUGGGACCCGAAAGAUGGUGAACUAUGCCUGAAUAGGGUGAAGCCAGAGGAAACUCUGGUGGAGGCUCGCAGCGGUUCUGACGUGCAAAUCGAUCGUCAAAUUUGGGUAUAGGGGCGAAAGACUAAUCGAACCAU
rnacentral:rRNA from 1 species